rnacentral:lncRNA from 1 species
CGGGUUUCAAUUCUCCUGUCUUUCAUGUCGAAGAUGAUGUGCUCCCCUCUUCCCCCACGAACCCAUAUCCCUUCUGGGUUUUUCCUCUGUAAAUGACCUCUCUAUGAGUCUCACCCUCCUCUCUCUCUCUUAACCCUAACCCGUCAAAACUCCAUGAAAUCACAUGGCUUUGGAAAACGUAUCAGUGAUAGAGUUUUCUUUUUUAUACAAUUUUUUUUGAAGUAAGAAGAAAAAGCCAAAGCCCAUGUACUGAUCAUAACGAAGCUGAGAACCACAUAGACUCAAGAAGCCAUGAAUAAAAGUUUGGAGCUACAUAGUCUCAAAACACAUAACAGUCACGAAGGAACCAAAACCCUAAAAGCCACAAAUAAAAACCCUAACCCAUUUGUAUAAUUCUCUCUUCUUGCACAUAACAAGAUCCAUGCUCAGCCAAAAGAAACAGCUCUUUCACGCUUUUUUUCCUCUUCAUUUUUUGAUGAGUAAGAAGAGCUCUUCCAUCCUUAUUCUUUCUUCUUUACUUUUCCCUAUUUUUCUUUUCCUUUUUGACAAGUAAGACCAGCACAUACAUUCAAUGCCACAAAACGCACCACGAGAACUCCCACCAUCGUCAAAGCAUUAGAAGUACCACCAUUCGAUAACAAACAUGUAAAUCAACCCGAAAACAUGUACAGAGGGUAUACGACCAAAGGCAACUUAGCAGUCAAGUGAAAGAAGAAAACCAGUUAUUUCCUCAAUAAAGGUUUCAGUAAAUGGUAGGAAGAAAUAUUCUAAAACACCCAUGGAAGUCAA